rnacentral:lncRNA from 1 species
AGGGAGACACCAGGGACGGUGGGGUCACAGUCCCCUACUCCUACUCAGCCACUGAGCUUCAGGUGGGAGGUCGAUGCAAGUGCAAUGGGCAUUCCUCACGGUGUCUGAUGGACACCCAUGGCCACCUGGUCUGCGACUGCCAGCAUGGUACAGAGGGCCCUGAUUGCAGCCGCUGCAAGCCCUUCUACUGCGACAGGCCAUGGCAGCGGGCUACAGGGCAGGAAGCCCACGCUUGCCUUGCUUGCUCCUGCAAUGGCCACGCCCGAAGAUGCCGCUUCAACAUGGAGCUGUACCGACUGUCCGGCCGCCGCAGUGGUGGGGUGUGCCUCAAUUGCCGGCACAAUACUGCUGGUCGUCACUGCCACUACUGUCGGGAGGGCUUCUAUCGUGACCCAGGCCGUGUCCUGAGUGACCGUCGUGCUUGCAGAGCUUGUGACUGCCACCCAGUUGGUGCUGCUGGCAAAACCUGUAACCAGACCACAGGCCAGUGUCCCUGUAAGGAUGGUGUUACCGGCCUCACCUGUAACCGCUGCGCCCCAGGUUUCCAGCAGAGCCGUUCUCCUGUCGCACCUUGUGUUAAGACUCCUGUCCCUGGACCCACUGAAGAAAGCAGUCCUGUGGAGCCACAGGGUGAGUGGACAGCAGAACCCAGACUG